rnacentral:rRNA from 1 species
GACAGAGGCCUCGAGCGUUAGGCGGAAUCACUGGGCUUAAAGCGUGUGUAGGCGGAUCGUUAAGUGCCUUGUGAAAUCCCACGGCUUAACUGUGGAACGGCUGGGCAUACUGGCGGUCUUGAGCCAUCUAGGGGCGACUGGAACAAACGUGGAGCGGUGAAAUGCGUAGAUAUCGUUUGGAACGCCAAUGGUGAAAACAGGUCGCUGGGGAUGAGCUGACGCUGAGACACGAAAGCCAGGGGAGCGAAACGGG